AUAGGCAUGCAGUCGAGCGAGAAGUGUAGCAAUACACGGAAAGCGGCGAAAGGGAUAGUAACACGUAGGUACCUACCCCCGGGCCUGGGAUAGCGGCGGGAAACUGCCAUUAAUACCAGAUAACGUCUCCGGACCAAAGGUGUGAUUCCGUCUGGGGAGGGGCCUGCGUCCUAUCAGCUAGUUGGUGAGGUAAUGGCUUACCAAGGCUUUGACGGGUAGCGGGUGUGAGAGCACGACCCGCAUCACUGGGACUGAGACACUGCCCAGACACCUACGGGUGGCUGCAGUCGAGAAUCUUCCGCAAUGGGCGAAAGCCUGACGGAGCGACGCCGCGUGCGGGAUGAAGGCCUUCGGAUUGUAAACCGCUGUCAGUGGGGAGGAAAUGUACGGGGGUUCUCCCUCGUAUUUGACCGAUCCGCAGAGGAAGCACAGGCUAAGUUCGUGCCAGCAGCCGCGGUAACACGAACUGUGCAAACGUUAUUCGGAAUCACUGGGCUUAAAGAGUUCGUAGGCGGCUUGUUAAGUCGGGUGUGAAAUCCCCUGUCUCAACCAGGGAAUUGCGCUCGAAACUGGCGAGCUUGAGUGAGAUAGAGGUGAGCGGAACUGAUGGUGGAGCGGUGAAAUGC
rnacentral:rRNA from 1 species